GACGAACGCUGGCGGCGUGCUUAACACAUGCCAGUCGAACGGAAAGGCCCCUUUGGGGGUACUCGAGUGGCGAACGGGUGAGUAACACGUGAGUAACCUGCCCUUGACUUCGGGAUAACUUCAGGAAACUGGGGCUAAUACCGGAUAGGAAUCCUUGCUGCAUGGUGGGGGUUGGAAAGCUUCGGCGGUUUUGGAUGGACUCGCGGCUUAUCAGCUUGUUGGUGGGGUAGUGGCUUACCAAGGCUUUGACGGGUAGCCGGCCUGAGAGGGCGACCGGCCACAUUGGGACUGGGAUACGGCCCAGACUCCUACGGGGGGCAGCAGUGGGGAAUAUUGCACAAUGGGCGGGAGCCUGAUGCAGCAACGCCGCGUGCGGGAUGACGGCCUUCGGGUUGGAAACCGCUUUCAGCAGGGGCGAAGCUUGUGGUGACGGUACCUGCAGAAGAAGCACCGGCUAACUACGUG
rnacentral:rRNA from 1 species